UGGUGGAGCGAUUUGUCUGGUUAUUUCCGAAAACGAAUGAGACUUUAGCCUGCUAAAUAGUCUGCAGAUCGCUUCGUCUGCAGGACUUCUUAGAGGGACAAGCGGCAUAUAGCUGCAAGAAAAUGAGCAAUAACA
rnacentral:rRNA from 1 species